GGAAUAUAUUACUCAGUACAUGUGGAGUGAGGUAAGGGCAGGUAAUGGAUACAGCGUUCACUUUUCACAUAUUUAUACAUUUUACAUCGCCACGCUCAAGAUACUGCUAUGAUUAAGAAGAAAAGCAGUGAUUACUCAUCGGCCGUGUGCUCCAACAGCUGACUGAUGGUCUCACGUGUCCCUGUUGAUGUAGAAGCCCCAUCAGGACUGGUCCCAGUGCAUUACCAAACGUUGUGACAGGCAAGAUCUCCAAAGGGGUGCUGCUUAUGAAAAAAAGUACCUUCACGCAGGGC